rnacentral:rRNA from 1 species
GACGAACCGAGCGAACGUUGUUCGGAAUCACUGGGCUUAAAGGGCGCGUAGGCGGGCUGCCAAGUCUGGGGUGCAAUCCCACGGCUCAACCGUGGAACUGCCUUAGAUACUGACGGCCUUGAGGGAGAUAGGGGCGAGCGGAACUGUGAGUGGAGCGGUGAAAUGCGUUGAUAUUCACAGGAACUCCGGUGGCGAAGGCGGCUCGCUGGAUCUUUUCUGACGCUGAGGCGCGAAAGCUAGGGGAGCAAACGGG